CCUACGGGCGGCAGCAGUGAGGAAUAUUGGUCAAUGGCCGAAAGGCUGAACCAGCCAAGUCGCGUGAAGGACGACUGCCCUAUGGGUUGUAAACCUCUUUUAUAAGGGAAGAAUAAGUGCUACGUGUAGCAUUAUGCCUGUACCUUAUGAAUAAGCAUCGGCUAACUCCGUGCCAGCAGCCGCGGUAAUACGGAGGAUUCGAUCGUUGUCGGGAUUUAUUGGGUUUAAAGGGUGCGUAGGGGGUUUUUUAAUUUAGUGGUUAAACGUCGGGGCUUCACCUUGAUUUGCCAUUAAUACUGUAAGACUUGAGUGCAGAAGAGGUAGGCGGAAUAAG
rnacentral:rRNA from 1 species